GGCGGGGUAGCUCAGUUGGUUGAGCACAGGACUCAUAAGCCCGAGGUCAGUGGUUCGAUCCACUUCCCGCUACCA
rnacentral:tRNA from 1 species